UAAGUUUUCGGUUAAAUCUGAACGCUCAACGUACAAGCUGCCGGGAAUACUGCAGAGCUAGGGAGUGGGAGAGGUAGACGGUACUCGGGAGGAAGUGGUAAAAUGCUUUGAUCUCUCGAUGACCACCUGUGGCGAAGGCGGUCUACCAGAACAUGUCCGACGGUGAGGGAUGAAAGCUGGGGGAGCAAACCGGAUUAGAUACCCGGUUAGUCCCAGCUGUAAACUAUGCAAACUCAGUGAUGCAUUGGCUUGUGGCCAAUGCAGUAUUGCAGGGAAGCCGUUAAGUUUGCCGCCUGGGAAGUACGUACGCAAGUAUGAAACUUAAAGGAAUUGGCGGGGGAGCACCACAAGGGGUGAAGCCUGCGGUUCAAUUGGAGUCAACGCCAGAAAUCUUACCCGGAGAGACAGCAGGAUGAAGGUCAAGCUGAAGACUUUACCAGACAAGCUGAGAGGUGGUGCAUGGCCGCCGCCAGCUCGUGCCGUGAGACGUCCUGUUAAGUCAGGUAACGAUCGAGAUCCCUGCCUCUAGUUGCCACCAUUACUCUUAGGAGUAGUGGGGCGAAUUAGCGGGACCGCCGCAGUUAAUGCGGAGGAAGGAAGGGGCCACGGCAGGUCAGUAUGCCCCGAAACUCUGGGGCCACACGCGGGCUGCAAUGGUAAUGACAAUGGGUUCCGAAUCCGAAAGGAGGAGGUAAUCCCCAAACAUUACCACAGUUAUGACUGAGGGCUGCAACUCGCCCUCACGAAUAUGGAAUCCCUAGUAACUGCAUGUCAUUAUCGCGCGGUGAAUACGUCCCUGCUCCUUGCAC
rnacentral:rRNA from 1 species